UACGUAGGGGGCAAGCGUUGUCCGGAAUCAUUGGGCGUAAAGAGCGUGUAGGCGGCCUGGUAAGUCCGCUGUGAAAGUCCAGGGCUCAACCCUGGAAUGCCGGUGGAAACUGUCAGGCUCGAGUCCGGAAGAGGCGAGUGGAAUUCCUGGUGUAGCGGUGAAAUGCGCAGAUAUCAGGAGGAACACCAAUGGCGAAAGCGGCUUCCUGGUCCAGCACCGACGUUCAGGCACGAAAGCGUGGGGAGCAAACAGG
rnacentral:rRNA from 1 species